AUGACCUCCUCCAUCCCCACCCCCCCGGCGGCGGCGGCGGCGCCCGAGUCACCGUCCACCAUCACGGACGGCGCGGUCAGCGGCACACUCCCGGGGGCCGAGGCCUUCGCCGUGCACUACCCCGGAUACCCCUCCUCUCCCGCUCGCGCCACCCAUACCCUCGGCGGCCUCCCCGCCAUCGCCAAGGUCCGGAGUUCCGACCCCGGCUCCCGCCUCGAGCUCCGCUUCCGCCCGGAGGACCCCGACUGCCACCCGACCUUCGGCGAGCCCCGCGCCUCCACUGGCCUGCUCCUCCGCCUCUCAAGGCCCAAGGGAGGCUCCGCGCCACCGCGUGCCGAGGUGGUGGCGCGCGUUCGGACCGCCUACCAUUUCGAUGGCAUGGCAGAUUUUCAGCAUGUCGUCCCAGUUCAUGCUGCUCAAGUGAGAAAAAGAAAACGGUUAGAUUGUCCCAGUGUUAAAGAUGAUUUAGGCACUGAUAAGGCAGGAGGUCUAGACACGGAUGAUGGAGAUGUCAUGAUGUUGGUACCACCACUCUUCGCAAUAAAGGAUAAUCCAACAAACAUAGCGCUUCUACCAUCGACCAAUGCACUAUCCAAGAGCAUGCAAAGGGGAGUUGUGCGGCAUCGGUGGGAGAUGGAUAUUGAACCAACCCUUGCGCUUCCUUUCAACAUUCAAGCUGUCCCCAAGAAGGUUAACUGGGAAGGCCACAUACCAAGGAAUUCAUCAGAGUGGGAUUCGCAGAUGGCUGUGUGCAAAUUAUUUGACGAGCGUCCUGUGUGGCCAAGACAGUCACUUUAUGAACGUUUGCUUGAUGAUGGUGUGCAUGUGUCAACAAGCCAGUUCAAAAGCCUUUUGUUUAAAGCUGGAUACUACUUCUCUACUGGACCCUUUGGUAAAUUCUGGAUCAAAAAAGAAUAUGAUCCUCGUAAAGAUCCCGAGUCACGAAUAUAUCAGCGAAUUGAUUUUCGCAUGCCUCCUGAGCUAAGGAAUCUUCAAACGAAAAGGCACGAUGGAUCUGAGAAGUGGUCAGAGAUGUGCAAGCUUGAAAGGAUGCCAUCGAAAAGUUUCAUCUUCCUGCAAUUAUUUGAACUGAAGGAUGACUUCAUUCAAGCCGAAAUUAGAAAACCUUCUCAUCAAUCAACUUGCUCAAAAUCUCACUGUACAAUCAUUGUAAGUGUCUUGUUGAGGGAAAGUGUCAGACUACGUAGUUUUUCUGUUGCAAGCAGCUCUGCUUGCGUACCUUCAUCGACCACUUUUAAUCAUACCAAGUUCUCCCAAAUUUGCUGUGAUCAUAAUCUGUGUUGGUUUUCUAAGCCAAUGAUUAAAAGUUUGAGGUUACAACUAUGCAUAAGGUUCCUCUCAUUAUGUCCUAAUGAAGAUGCCAAAACCCUUUUGAGAAGUUCCCAUCAACUUCUUGAAAGGUCCAAAAAGCAGGAAGCUAUUUGCAGAUCCGAGCAACUGAAGGAAAGAAAAGAUGUUGAUGAAGAAGCGCCUGCUGAACAUGUUGGAUCUGAGGAUCAGAUGGACACUAACAACUCUGAUAGUGAAGAUGCUGAUGACGAGGAAGAGGAAGAUAAAGAGGAAUCAGAUGGUUAUGAUUCUCCAGCCAUGGCCGAGGAUGUUCCUGAUUUCGCCUUACAUGAGUCCUACACACUUGGAGAAGGCUUCUCCACUGGAUACCUUGAGGAGGUGUUGCGCAGCUUUCCACUGAAUGAAGAUGGCCAGAAUAAAUCAGGUGAUGCCCUUAAUAAUGGUGAAGCAAGUGAUGGGGAGUUUGAAAUUUUCGAACAGCCUAGUGACGAUGAAGAGUAUUCCGAUGGUUAG
rnacentral:rRNA from 1 species